GGUAUUUAUGAUGAAAUCUAGUAUGAUUGAUGCGCUAUUUGCGGUGUGUUUAUUCGGUCUAAUUGUUUCAUUGAAUAGUUCGCCCUUGGGACCAGGCGGUGGCGAGAAAUUAGAAACAUCAAAGACAUCAAACUCCUUGCCCAAAGUCGCUAAGAAAAACCGUAUAAGAAAUGUAAAUACAUAAAAACUACUUUGUACUUAUACAAGCCAGGCACUAAUGAUUUCCAGGGUCUCUUUAUUUUCAUAAUACAUUUUCUUAGACCUAUCUACACUGAUACUGCAAGACUAAUGUACACUAAUACAUUAGCAUUUUAGUAGAAGAAAUUCAAAUGAAUUGCCCAUAGCUAUAUUAAAUGUUAUGGUACUUGCUGACGUUGUGAAAGUACUAGAGGGUGUAAAAUAUAAGAGCAUCAAAAAUUGCUAUUCGAAAGCAAAACUAGACCCAGUGUUUAUGACUCGGCUUAUCGAUGCCAGGAACGACAUUCUUCGGGGAUUAAAAGUAGGAAACUUAAAAGAAGAAGAAAAAAAUGCACGUGCUGCUUUAUUCUUUACAAUAAAAACCAAAUUAUUUGAGAAGCUGGAGAAUGAGAGCAAGGAGGAGUUAUUUAAUACUGAAUAUCCAAAUGCCGACGUAGAAAUAAACGAGGUCAUCGAUACGUUCAUA